GAAACAAACAUCAUAGAUAGGACAUUCAAAACAAACAAUCUACACAUUCUUGAAAGUUGCCACAUAUACAACACUAACAAUACUGUAAACAAACGCACAGACACUGACAAUCUCCAUGUAGCUUAUGCCGGACUAUUACAUUUACUGAAAAACGAGACGACGAAUAGAAGAUGACGAUCAAAACAAAAUAGAUAGAUGAGAGAAUAUUCUCAGGGUUAGAUAGUUAAGACACACACUAAACUAAACAGAGAGAAAGUGACUCACACAAACAAAAAGAAUAUCAUGCGAAAAGCAAUGGUGGAAGAUUCCAAAAACAGGGACCGAAUUCUAGACCGCCCGAUAGGUAGGAGAUUGUCCGCAUCACGACGGUUGAAAACCGAACGGACUCAAUCUAUGUGAGUACAGUGCAGGACAACAAAUAUGUAUAAAAUGAAAAUUGACCUUUGAAUCUUCCAUUUAGACCAAAACUUCCGCAUGACAUUUUUGAGUUUAGCAAAGCCAUCUUGACUAGAAAACCUUGACCGAUUGAACCCUUGAAAAAGGUCCCAUACGGACCGAAACGUCGGGAAAAAUCAUAAACUAGUGUUUUCGAUUCCCCAAAAGACUGCAAAGCCAACAUUCCGAAGCAAAAUCAUCCCAGUCGCAUCCCAACCAAG